AAACUUACUGUACAGGCUUUCCCAGGGCGAGGCUUAUCCAUUGCACUCCGGAUGUGCUGACCCUUGCGAUUUCCCCAAAAGCGGGUAACUUGACUGCAUAAUUUGUGGUAGUCGGGGGACUGCAUUUGCGCUCUCCCCUG
rnacentral:snRNA from 1 species